rnacentral:rRNA from 1 species
AGAGUUUGAUCCUGGCUCAGAAUCAACGCUGGCGGCGCGCCUAACACAUGCAAGUCGAACGAGAAAGUGGAGCAAUCCAUGAGUAAAGUGGCGUACGGGUGAGUAACACGUGGAUAAUCUGCCCUUUAGUGGGGAAUACCGUUGGGAAACCGACGACAAUACCGCAUAAGCUCGAGAGAGGAAAGCAGCAAUGCGCUGAAGGAGGAGUCCGCGGUCGAUUAGCUAGUUGGUGAGGUAAUGGCUCACCAAGGCUUUGAUCGAUAGCCGGCCUGAGAGGGCACACGGCCACACUGGCACUGAAACACGGGCCAGACUCCUACGGGAGGCAGCAGUGGGGAAUCUUGCACAAUGGGGGCAACCCUGAUGCAGCGACGCCGCGUGAGCGAUGAAGCCCUUCGGGGUGUAAAGCUCUUUCGGCAGGGAAGAUUAUGACGGUACCUGCAGAAGCAGCUGCGGCUAACUACGUGCCAGCAGCCGCGGUAAUACGUAGGCAGCAAGCGUUGUUCGGAGUUACUGGGCGUAAAGGGUGCGUAGGCGGCUCGAUAAGUAUGGUGUGAAAUCUCCCGGCUUAACUGGGAGGGUGCGCUAUAGACUGCCGGGCUAGA